GAAUGGUUGGACGAGAUAUAAUCUGUUUCAUUUAAAAUUAAUUAGAAUUUUAUUUUUUAGUUAAAAAGCUAAAAUAUAUUCAAAAGACGAGAAGACCCUAUAAAUCUUGAUUAUUUAGUAAUUUUUAAUUUAUUUUGAUUUUUUUUAUUAUAAAUUUAUUAAUUAAUUUUAUUGGGGUGAUAUUAAAAUUUAAAUAACUUUUAAUAAUUUUUGUCAUUUAUUUAUGAUUAAGUGAUCCGUUAUUAGUGAUUAAAAAAUUAAGUUACUUUAGGGAUAACAGCGUAAUUUUUUUGGAGAGUUCUUAUCGAUAAAAAAGUUUGCGACCUCGAUGUUGGAUUAAGAUUCAUAUUUAAAUGCAGAAGUUUAAAUAUAAAGUCUGUUCGACUUUUUAUUCUUACAUGAUCUGAGUUCAAACCGGUGUAAGCCAGGUUGGUUUCUAUCUUUGAUUUCAUAAAAUAUUUUAGUACGAAAGGAAUUAAUAUUUAUUUUUAAAAAAUUAAUUUAUGAAUAAAUUUAAUUACUAU
rnacentral:rRNA from 1 species